AAGACUGUGAUGCACCAUUAUUACACCCUAAUAAUAACCAGACGUUUUCUAGAAAACAGUGUCCAGUUAUCCAUAUGGCUGCCUUAAAUUACAAAUAGCUUGUCAUUCCUGUUCUUGAGAUGUUACUUUUUUCUAUCUUGAAAUUACAGUAAUAGGUAAGUUUCUGUAAUUUAUAUGCUUGUUUUUGAGGGGAUUGUUUUAAUGGUACUGGGGCUUGAACAUA